GCAACAUUUAAUCUCCAGCGCCAAGUUGCUAGGACAUCUUAGACUAUUGGGUUCUGCUCAGGCAUAAUUCCAUCAUUACCAUUGAUUUGUUCGCUCACGCUCCCCAUGGUGCUUUUAAUCAGCUCUCCAUCUUUGUGCCUUCACACCUUUACGCUUUUCAUGAUUGGCUCUGCUACCUUCUGCCUCUGCAAUGAAAUAGUGCCGUAGAAAUCCUUCUGCAUCUUACACACUUUAACAAUUCCAUUUCUUCUCUCUCUGGUCCAGUGAAGGGAUGUCCCUUUCCCACAAAGGCACCACUGUCUCUACAAAGCUCUCUGCAUUGUAUACAGAAGAUAAAACUAACACACUGGUAAAGGAGCAUUCUCGAAGAGUCAGGAGUGGACUGUAAUUGAAGAGUUCAUUACCAAGAUCAGUUGGCUCCUUGAUUACAGUGGCAAGGUGAAAUAUAUAUCCUCACCAAAAAGCGACUGCUAAACCUUUAGAGAAGUCACCCACUUUUCACUCUUUUUCAUUAGGACCCCGACAAGCUUGUCAGCAAAAUUAAAGGUAUGUCAUUCACAUCGUGCAUGCAUUGCAAAGGACUAUAAACCUGCCAACCUCUUUGAUGAAAUAAAAGGGUUUUA
rnacentral:lncRNA from 1 species